AUACUGCCUGGCAGGCCAGAUACGAUCAUGCAAGUUUUGGUUUUUGUACAAGGAAAGCUUAUCUAUUGUAUUUCAGAUAUGCUAACCCUUUGUAACUUCCCCAAAUGCGGGAAACUCAACUGCAUCAUUUGUGGAAGCGGGGGACUGUGUUCCUGC
ensembl:snRNA U1 U1 spliceosomal RNA